AAAUUCUUUCAGCAGAAUUCAGCUAGACAAAAAAACAACAACAAAAAAACAAUCACUACAGCCUUCCAAGAAGAUGGACUGCCUCACAAUAGUUUCCUUGAGGACUGUCUUGAAAUAUCCAGAGUUUAAGAUUCAAGAAACGGACUCUAUCUGGAAAAGGAAAACAAUAUCAAAGCUCCUCUGUGAGAAGUUGGCCAAGGAAAGCAUUCAGAAGAAAGUGGAGAUUCAUUGUUUUCACCAGAUCCAGUAGAUCACAGAAAGCAUCUAGUAGGGGAGGUCUACAGAUCGAAGCAUGCCAAAUGUGUAAAGAACAAGUUUCCAGGAUUAAGCCAGCCAGUAGAUGAGACUAUUAUAUCAAAAAUACAUUUGUACACGAGGGCACACAAAGCGUUGAUGAAACAAAAAGACAUUUCCGUCUGUUUGUAAAGGAUACUAUUUCACCAGGGAACACCAUCUCAGAAUUUAACAGAUGCUUUUACCCCGCCAAUAAGGAUGUAAGAAAUCACAUUUACAGGGCACCGAGAUUUUGCCAGGUAGUUUAGAACUGUGUGCAUUGGUUUUGGAAGAAUUUGGGCUGUUUAGGCUAAAAUCCAUUAUGAUUGGACAGAAUAUGAACACACACAUCCGAUACUUCAAAGAUAUUAUGUUUGUGGAGGCAGAGAUUUUGAUUGCAUCCACUGUUUAGAAUACAUCCUUAAGGGAAGCAGACUGCCGCCUUUACGCAAUGAUAUAAUGAUUAAUCAUAACUAUAUCUGUUUUGUACCAAAUAGAAAGAGCAUUGAUUCAGGUCAUUUUCAAAUCCAUUGGCAUACAUUGUACUAUACAUGCAACCUUUUCAAACUUUACAUUUAAGAUUUUAUAAAGGAAAUAUCUUAAUGUUUCACAUGUUUACCUUUCACUGUGCUAUGUAAUUCAUUAUACCUGCCAUUAUGCCAGUCUUCCUGAACAUAAUUUGUUUUCUGCAAUUUCAUUGGCCAAGAGGCUUAAUCCUGGGUUAUCAGAUUGAGCAUUUAUAUUUAGUAUCCCAUUGAUUUUGUCAGCCCUAUAUAAGGAGCUGACUCAGAUUUACUCACUCUGCUAGGUUAAAGAACUCUAAGGUUUGUACUUUUCACAUGAAUUUCGUGUUCACCUCUUAUCUUUUACAUAGAGUAGGAAAUGAACAUAACAUUGAGUUAGGGAACAAUUUAGAUCUAACAUUAUAAUAUGUAAAUACCUUAGCAGAGUCAAUUUACUUGGUUCAGGGUAGUAUCAGAUAUUACUUUUUCAGAGUUUAAGUGUUUAGGCUAUCUCAAUGUUUCUAUAGUUAGCCUUUUCCUAUGUUACUUUUAGAUGUAUGGAAGCCUUUUAGUGUUAUAACACUAUAUUUAUGCCCCCAUUCAAAGAAGAGGGGCAUAUUGGUUUGCACCUGUUGGUCGGUCGGUAGACCACAUGUUGUCCGCUUAAUAUCUUAAGAACCAUUCACUUGAUUGUAAUAUAUUUCAUAUGUGGGUUGGUUAUGAAAAGAAGAGGACCCCAAUUGUUUUUCUGGUCGAAAUGUCAAGGGUCAAUCUACUCUGGACAUAGGAAGACACUGCCUGCUCAAUAUCUUGAGAACCCUUUGCUUGACAGACAUCAAACUUGGUACACUGGUACAUCUCAAGGAGUAGAUUUGAGGUCACAUGGUCAAAAGUCAAGGGGUAAACUGGACAUAGUAAUAUAUUGUCUCUUAUGUUUUAAGAAUUAUUUGCUUGAUUGACACCAAACCUGGUACAGCAUAAGGAGGAGAUGACCCCUAUUGAUUUUUAGGUCACUUGGUCAAUCCACUCCUGACACAGGAAGAUAUUGUUUGCUCAAUAUUUCGAAUUGAUGAUACUACUAUCAAUCAAAUUAUGCAUGUGUAUAACCCUUUUCAAUUUUGCACCAUGGGGGCUUAUAUGUUUUACAAACACCUCAUGUUUUAUAGUUUGUGAAAGCUUGUUAGGGUCAUAACUUUAGAUUUUCUUAUUAUGGUACUUGCCCGUCAGAGACUGGACAUAUUAUGGUAUGGUGUUGUCUGUCCGGACCUUGUAAGAUGGGAUACAGACUGAACCGUAAGCUCCAGAAUCUUACAACUUGGUACAUUUGAUCACCAUAAAAGGAAGAUGCUUAUUGUUUUUUAAGGUCAAGGUUGUAGGUUCACUUAAUAGGAAAACCUUGUUUGAGAAAAUUACAGAUUCUUGAACUGAGUAUUUUGAGGAAACAUUACAUAGAAAGUACAUGAUUUGUCAAAUUUCUCCCAAUAUUCAACUGAGAACCUUAUUCUGCAGAGUAUUUGUAUGGGUAUGGAAAAUGUGUAUGUGGCUAUGAUUUUGAUUUUUGUUUAAUUUUUUUGUUGUUGUUGAAAAUUACAGGUUUAACCGAGUCAGUUUUUGAGGAAAUAUACAUGUAUUAAAUAAAUGACGGUUUGACCUUUUAACUCCUCUCACAGUUUUGAAACUUGGGUCUUUGUAAAUAACUUCUUUGGUGUUUUAGAAUAUUUACAGAUUGUUGAUCAUGGUAAAUUUUGGGGAAAUAUUUUCCGCAGAGCUCUAGUUGUCUAUCUACCGGCCUCCUGUCACUUUUAAGUUUAGGAGCUUUUAUUCAUGGAAAGAAAGUAUAUGACAGCCUGAUGAUGGCUGAUACUAUUUAAAGCCUUUUUAUACGCCCGUCUUAAGACGGGACGUAUUAUGGUAUGGCGUUCAUGUCCGUCCGUCUGUUAGCUUUUUCGUGUCCGACCCGUAACUUAAAUACUACAAGGCCUAGAAUCAUCAAACUUUGUCUGUAGAUACAUCUUGGGUAGAAGGUGUGUCGCACAUUAAAACCAGGUUACUAUGACUUUUCAUUAAGAAGAUAUCCGUCUGUCCAUCCGUCUGUUAGCUUUUUCGUGUCCGACCCGUAACUUAAAAACAAGGCCUAGAAUCAUCAAACUUUGUCUGUAGAUACAUCUUGGGUAGAAGGUGUGUCGCACAUUAAAACCAGGUCACUGUGACUUUUCAUUAAGAAGAUAUGGCCAUAUAUGGCAAAAACUUGUCUGGCUCAUAACUUGAAAACUAUUAGACCUAGAAUCACCAAAAUUGGUCAACUAAUGCAUCUUAGGUAGAAGGUGUGUCGCAUCCUACUUUAAGGUCACUUUGACAUUUAAUUAAGGUAAUAUAAAAAAAAUGUUUUAAUGGGUACAAUCUAUACUGUUAACAGUAUGUGACGGGCGUAUCAUGUGCCGUGGCGGUGCACUUUAUUCUAGAAAUGGCAUCAGAAAAACACCCUAUGUAACCUUUUCUGCUUAUACUCAUUUAUUUUUAUUGGAAAACUUAUUACUUGUUAUCAGCUACUCUAAAACAAUAUUGACUUGUGCUAUAAUAAAUUUGUAAACUUUACAA